UUCUCCUUGUCGCCCAGGCACUGCUGCAGCUGCUCCCAGGCGAUGUUGAUCAAACCCAGCCCCAGCCCCAAGCGGUGCUGAUCCAGCCCCAGCCCGAGGUGCACUAGCCCCAGCCCCAAGCAGUCGCAUAUUUUUGCUUGUCUGAGCAUGGCCCUUCUCCUGCAAAUCCAAUUCAGAAGCACACUCGUAGUAAGUUUGACAUAGAAGUAGCAAUUUGAAUGAGAAGCAGCAACAACAAUUUGAUUUGAAGGAGAAGCAGCAAAAAUUUCACAGCAACAACGGCAAGUACUUUCUGCUCAUUAGGAUAGCAACAACAUUAGUUUGACAUAGUGGCAGCAACAGCAGUUUGAUGACAGCAGCAGUACCUGACAUUAGCAAAAGUAGUUUGAAAUAUCCUGGGGCGGCCAAAGAUGGUGAAAUGAUCAUCUGCUUGUUCUUAGACAGCUCAAUGAGCACCUGGUAUCAAAAAAUAGGCUUUUAAAGGGGG
rnacentral:lncRNA from 1 species